rnacentral:rRNA from 1 species
CCUUCGGGAACGUCUGACACAGGUGCUGCAUGGCUGUCGUCAGCUCGUGUCGUGAGAGUGUUGGGUUAAGUCCGUAACGAGCGCAACCCUUGUCCUUAGUUACCAGCACGUUAUGGUGGGCACUCUAAGGAGACUGCCGGUGACAAACCGGAGGAAGGUGGGGAUGACGUCAAGUCAUCAUGGCCCUUACGGCCUGGGCUACACACGUGCUACAAUGGUCGGUACAAAGGGUUGCCAAGCCGCGAGGUGGAGCUAAUACCCAUAAAACCGAUCGUAGUCCGGAUCGCAGUCUGCAACUCGACUGCGUGAAGUCGGAAUCGCUAGUAAUCGUGAAUCAGAAUGUCACGGUGAAUACGUUCCCGGGCCUU